GACGAACGCUGGCGGCGUGCUUAACACAUGCAAGUCGAACGAAGUGGCGAACGGGUGUGUAAUACGUUGGUAACCUGCCCUCCUUUUUGGGAUAAGCUUUGGAAACUGGGUCUAAUACCGAAUAAAGGGGGAUGGGCUCGCGGCCUAUCUGCUUGUUGGUGGGGUGAUGGCGUACCAAGGCGGUGACGGGUAGCCGGCGUGGGAGGGUGAGCGUAGGAAUUGGGAGUGGGUAACGGCGCAGAAUCCUACGGGAGGAAGGAGUGGGGGAUAUUGGACAAUGGGCGAAAGCCUGAUGGAGCGACGGCGCGUGGGGGAUGAAGGCUAUAGGGUUGUAAUACUAUGUAGCUAUCGAACGGAUGGGUGGAGAAGAAGCGCCGGCUAACUACGUGCCAGCAGCCGCGGUAAUUA
rnacentral:rRNA from 1 species